UAGUCUAAACUGUUCUAGAUCUAGUAAAAUCUAGUACCAUAAUUAGUAUUUUGUCUAAGUCAAAGAGUAUAGUAGUACAGUAGUACUAGUAGUUAGUAGUAGUACUACUAAGUACUAGUAGUAGGUAGUAGUAGUAGUAGUAAAAUCUACUCUAGUAAAUCUAGUAACUAUUGUUUCUAUUCUAGUUAACGAUGAUUUUACCUGUGUCUGUCGACUGCGAAAUUCUCAGCAGCAGCAACUCAAUAUUUGGUAUCAGGCUUUUCUGCCAGCAGUCUCUUCUUCCUCAAGAUGACAUUUCUGACGUGUUCCUUAGGAUGGUCAUGUUGGUUUUUGAUUAUGUCAUUAAGGAUGUGCUGUUGAGCGAAAAGACUACUACACAGUGGAAACUGGUUCAAGAACAGAUGACUAAUUAACAACAAUGAAAAGACAAAUCAGAAACAAGAGGAGAGGCAUUUACUACACAUGUGCAGUUUGUUUGGUUUUAUUUACAGUCAUUAUUUUAAGAUCCGCCAAACAGUCAAAGAUCUCAAAGUUGAGACUUAAAUCUCCAAUGGAUUCUUAUUUUUCAGUUGAUUGUGUCUAACACAAAUAAGGUAAAUUUAAAUUUAGCAACAACGCUAUCGUUAGGGACAGUUACAGAAAAAGAAUACUAGCCAUCAGUAGGACAGCCUUGGGCAGCAAUGACAUUAGACACAUGCAGUGCGUUUCUCUGAACCACAAUUUCUUCACUAAAAUACCCAGCAAAUGUAGUUAAUUCAUGAUGUAUUUCAGGUGAUAUACUUUCCAUAUUUCACAGGCAUAAAGCAAUAGUAAUCUAAUGUGGUGUAUAAAAUACAAACAUGCUCAAUGUGUGAAGCACCAUUAAAGAGUGGCAACACAGUUUUUCUGAUAUACUGGGAGAUGUGCAUUUGUACAAACUUUUUAAAGGGAUUUGAGUUUUUCUUUGAUCAUCAGAUAAAUAUUUGAUUUAUAAGCAAAUAGUCCUUUUUUCUGAGAAUUAAUUGCAUUUUUUUGUGUAGAGAUAGGGACACCUCAAACACCCAAUAGCUCUGUGGUGGUUGAGGGGGGGGGGUGCUAAGUGGUUUAGUGCGGUUGCUUUAGAGCUAAGGGUUUUCAGGUUCAAAUCUUGUUGAAGAUUGUUUUUGAAUUUCAGGAUUUUAGAGUGCCUUGGGUCAGUGCAAUUCUAAUGGGUAUCUGACAUUAGUUGGGGAAAGUAAAGAAGGUUGGUCGUUGUGCUGGCCAUAUGAUACCUUUAUAACAGUAGGCCACAGAAACAGAUGACAUUUACAUCAUCUGCCAUAUAGAUUGCAAAUUCUAAAAGGCAUUCUUUUUACAUUUUAAUCCCUAACUAUUCUAAAAAUUCUAACCAUUUUUUCAUUCAAAGACAUUUUUUCUUUUCUGAGCAACUAAAUUGAUGAUCAUGUUAAAUCAACAUUUGAUUUUUAAAAAAUAAUUUCUGAUUUACUUUGAUGCAAGAAAAAGCUAAUAUUAUAAGCAUUACUCACCAUAGUCAAAUUAUGCACUUUUAUAAAGUAUGCUAAGUAGGCUUAGCAAAGCAUAAAAAAAAAGAAUAUUUGCUAUUGACCUUUUCGAAAAUUAAAACAAAAAAAAAAUUUUGUGCCAAGAUCAUUAUACUACAGCUUUUUAUUGUAUUGCAUGCCACCUAAAAAAAGUUUGACAUUCUGCAUGAUAUCAACUGAGGUCAAUGAAAUAUGGAAAAGGAGCUACAAACUAAGUACAUUAAUGAAACCAAAAAAAAAAAAGAAUUAGAAGAUAACUACCAUGUCAGACAAAAACUGUCUAAUUUUAAGAAAGGCCUAACUUCUAGCUAUGACCAAUUGUGACAAAGAAUACAUUUUAAUACUUAAUUAUCAGAAAGAAUGUCAAAUUAGGUAGGAGGUGUGGUGGCCGAGUGGUAAAGUUGUUAGCUUCUGAACCAGGGGUUUCAGGUUUGAAUUCUGGUGAAGACUGGGAUUUUUACUUUCUGUAAUGUCUUAGUGUCAAUGAUUAGAUUGACCAUGGUAAUGACUUAUGUCAAUGAAAACAUUGAAAAAGGUAAUGAGUUAGUGUCAAUGAUUACAUUGAGAAUGGUAAUGACUUAGUGUUAUUGAUUGGAUUGAGAAUGGUAAUGACUUAAUUUCAAUAAAAACAACAAAAAUG